rnacentral:rRNA from 1 species
UAUACAUGCAAGUAGAACGCUGAAGAGAGGAGCUUGCUCUUCUUGGAUGAGUUGCGAACGGGUGAGUAACGCGUAGGUAACCUGCCUUGUAGCGGGGGAUAACUAUUGGAAACGAUAGCUAAUACCGCAUAACAAUGGAUGACACAUGUCAUUUAUUUGAAAGGGGCAAUUGCUCCACUACAAGAUGGACCUGCGUUGUAUUAGCUAGUAGGUGAGGUAAUGGCUCACCUAGGCGACGAUACAUAGCCGACCUGAGAGGGUGAUCGGCCACACUGGGACUGAGACACGGCCCAGACUCCUACGGGAGGCAGCAGUAGGGAAUCUUCGGCAAUGGGGGCAACCCUGACCGAGCAACGCCGCGUGAGUGAAGAAGGUUUUCGGAUCGUAAAGCUCUGUUGUAAGUCAAGAACGGGUGUGAGAGUGGAAAGUUCACACUGUGACGGUAGCUUACCAGAAAGGGACGGCUAACUACGUGCCAGCAGCCGCGGUAAUACGUAGGUCCCGAGCGUUGUCCGGAUUUAUUGGGCGUAAAGCGAGCGCAGGCGGUUUGAUAAGUCUGAAGUUAAAGGCUGUGGCUCAACCAUAGUUCGCUUUGGAAACUGUCAAACUUGAGUGCAGAAGGGGAGAGUGGAAUUCCAUGUGUAGCGGUGAAAUGCGUAGAUAUAUGGAGGAACACCGGUGGCGAAAGCGGCUCUCUGGUCUGUAACUGACGCUGAGGCUCGAAAGCGUGGGGAGCGAACAGGAUUAGAUACCCUGGUAGUCCACGCCGUAAACGAUGAGUGCUAGGUGUUGGAUCCUUUCCGGGAUUCAGUGCCGAAGCUAACGCAUUAAGCACUCCGCCUGGGGAGUACGACCGCAAGGUUGAAACUCAAAGGAAUUGACGGGGGCCCGCACAAGCGGUGGAGCAUGUGGUUUAAUUCGAAGCAACGCGAAGAACCUUACCAGGUCUUGACAUCCCGAUGCUAUUCUAGAGAUAGAAAGUUACUUCGGUACAUCGGUGACAGGUG